UACAGAGGGGGCAAGCGUUGUUCGGAAUUACUGGGCGUAAAGGGCGCGUAGGCGGCCUUCUAAGUCGAACGUGAAAUCCCCGGGCUCAACCCGGGAACUGCGUCCGAUACUGGAAGGCUUGAAUCCGGGAGAGGGAUGCGGAAUUCCAGGUGUAGCGGUGAAGUGCGUAGAUAUCUGGAGGAACACCGGUGGCGAAGGCGGCAUCCUGGACCGGCAUUGACGCUGAGGCGCGAAAGCCAGGGGAGCAAAGCGGG
rnacentral:rRNA from 1 species